rnacentral:rRNA from 1 species
UACAGGGGGGGCAAGCGUUGUUCGGAAUUACUGGGCGUAAAGGGCUCGUAGGUGGCCAACUAAGUCAGACGUGAAAUCCCUCAGCUUAACUGGGGAACUGCGUCUGAUACUGGAUGGCUUGAGUUCGGGAGAGGGAUGCGGAAUUCCAGGUGUAGCGGUGAAAUGCGUAGAUAUCUGGAGGAACACCGGUGGCGAAGGCGGCAUCCUGGACCAACACUGACACUGAGGAGCGAAAGCCAGGGGAGCAAACGGG